rnacentral:rRNA from 1 species
UUGCUUUCUUUGCUGACGAGCGGCGGACGGGUGAGUAAUGCCUGGGAAAUUGCCCUGAUGUGGGGGAUAACCAUUGGAAACGAUGGCUAAUACCGCAUGAUGCCUACGGGCCAAAGAGGGGGACCUUCGGGCCUCUCGCGUCAGGAUAUGCCCAGGUGGGAUUAGCUAGUUGGUGAGGUAAUGGCUCACCAAGGCGACGAUCCCUAGCUGGUCUGAGAGGAUGAUCAGCCACACUGGAACUGAGACACKGUCCAGACUCCUACGGGAGGCAGCAGUGGGGAAUAUUGCACAAUGGGCGCAAGCCUGAUGCAGCCAUGCCGCGUGUAUGAAGAAGGCCUUCGGGUUGUAAAGUACUUUCAGUGGUGAGGAAGGGAGUGUGGUUAAUAGCCAUAUUCUUUGACGUUAGCCACAGAAGAAGCACCGGCUAACUCCGUGCCAGCAGCCGCGGUAAUACGGAGGGUGCGAGCGUUAAUCGGAAUUACUGGGCGUAAAGCGCAUGCAGGUGGUUUGUUAAGUCAGAUGUGAAAGCCCGGGGCUCAACCUCGGAGUUGCAUUUGAAACUGGCAGGCUAGAGUACUGUAGAGGGGGGUAGAAUUUCAGGUGUAGCGGUGAAAUGCGUAGAGAUCGGAAGGAACACC